CCGGAUUUCAUGACAACUCUGUAAUUUGAAAACUUCGAGGUUUUUUUUGCGUAGAUCUAGCUACCUAUUGGUUAAUUCUAUGAACGCAUUUCAAGCAAAUCUACGUCAUUUACACGAUAAAAUACAUUGCAGAGUAUUUUUUUAAUACCACACAAACCGCCAAAUGCCGGCUACUAGUGUGCAACUCGCUAUUAAGGUUUCUGUCCUGUCCAACCUCAGGUUUCUGUCCUGUCCAACCUCAGGUUCCUGUCCUGUCCAACCUCAGGUUCCUGUCCUGUCCAACCUCAGGUUCCUGUCCUGUCCAACCUCAGGUUUGUGUCCUGUCCAAUCUCAGGUUCGUGUCCUGUCCAAUCUCAGGUUCGUGUCCUGUCCAACUUCAGGUUCGUGUCCUGUACAAUCUCAGGUUCGUGUCCUGUCCAACCUCAGGUUCGUGUCCUGUCCCAUCUCAGGUUCGUGUCCUGUCCCACCUCAGGUUCGUGUCCUGUCCAACCUCAGGUUCGUGUCCUGUCCAACCUCAGGUUCGUGUCCUGUCCAACCUCAGGUUUGUGUCCUGUCCAACCUCAGGUUCGUGUCCUGUCCAACCUCAGGUUCGUGUCCUGUCCAACCUCAGGUUUGUGUCCUGUCCAACCUCAGGUUCCUGUCCUGUCCAACCUCAGGUUCGUGUCCUGUCCAACCUCAGGUUUGUGUCCUGUCCAACCUCAGGUUUGUGUCCUGUCCAAUCUCAGGUUUGUGUUCUGUCCAAUCUCAGGUUCGUGUCCUGUCCAACCUCAGGUUCGUGUCUUCCUUGUCCUCAUCCCGUCCCUUCUUCUUUCCCACCUCAGGAGUGUUACCAGGUAGGACACCAUGGUACUCUAGAAAACUGUUUUCAUUCCAGAUACUGAAUUAAACCACCAAGUGGUUAAGUGUUUUUUUAAGUUCUGUAUCUGCUGAAGGUAUCGCACCCUCUCCUCCGGGCUUCAGAGGAAAAGAGAGAUAUUCUCCAUCAUUCACACCACACAGAAAGGAUGCUAUACUAGAAGACACAUAGACGUGGUCCUGUUUGACUCAGUUGGUAGAACGUGGUGCUUGCAACGCCAAGAUUGUGGGUUUGAUUCCCGGGGCAACCCAUACGUAAGUCUCUCUGGAUAGUGUCCUCUAUAUAUUAAGGAUGUGAACUAAGUGUAAAUGCGUGAGAUCAAUUUACCUGCCUGUAAUGAUUUUGCAUGAAACAAUCUUCUUUUUGAC
rnacentral:lncRNA from 1 species